rnacentral:tmRNA from 1 species
GGGGUCGACCGGUUUUGACAGCGAGUGCGUGGGAAUGUAAGCAUGCCGGACGUUGGAAGCAGGUUCCGUAACAGCUAACUUCCGUGCCAAAUAAAUGGCGAAAACAAUAAUUUUGCAUUGGCUGCGUAAUUUAGAAUUACAAGUCAAUUGCCCGCACCAAAGUCUUGUUCGUUGACGUUGGAGUUCGGGUAUCAGAAAUAACGAACUGGUCGAGGCACGCCUCAGUGCCAAGAUGAGAUUUUCGAGGCUAAGGGUAGAGUAGGAUUAGCCUUUUUCCGGCUCUUCCCCUACAAUCCAAAUAAAGGAUAAGCAUGUAGAAAGCAUUUUUAUGGCUUGUUUGGACGUGGGUUCGAAUCCCACCGGCUCCAC